GUUAUCCUAAACAAAACUAUCCGCCAGAGAACUACCAGCAACAGCUUAAAACUCAAAGGACUUGGCGGUGCUUUACAUCCCCCUAGAGGAGCCUGUUCUAUAAUCGAUAAACCCCGAUAUACCUCACCAUCUCUUGCUAAUUCAGCCUAUAUACCGCCAUCUUCAGCA
rnacentral:rRNA from 1 species